rnacentral:rRNA from 1 species
GAUGAACGCUGGCGGCGUGCUUAACACAUGCAAGUCGAACGGUGAAGCAGGAGCUUGCUCUUGUGGGUCAGUGGCGAACGGGUGAGUAACACGUGAGCAACCUGCCCCUGACUCUGGGAUAAGCGCUGGAAACGGCGUCUAAUACUGGAUAUGUGAUGUGACCGCAUGGUCUGCAUCUGGAAAGAAUUUCGGUUGGGGAUGGGCUAACGGCCUAUCAGCUUGUUGGUGAGGUAAUGGCUCACCAAGGCGUCGACGGGUAGCCGGCCCGAGAGGAGGAGCGGCUACACUGGGACUGAGACACGGCCCAGACUCCCACGGGAGGCAGCAGUGGGGAAUAUUGCACAAUGGGCGGAAGCCUGAUGCAGCAACGCCGCGUGAGGGAUGUCGGCCUUCUGGUUGUAAACCUCUUUUAGCAGGGAAGAAGCGAAAGUGACGGUACCUGCAGAAAAAGCACCGGCUAACUACGUGCCAGCCGCCGCCGUAA